CGCACUCUAGGCUUCAAUCGUGCACACGUACACAUUUACUGAGCCUGUACCGUGUGCCAAGUGCUGGGGAUUCCGCAAGCAAGAAAACAUUCGGAGUCUCUGACUUCACAGAGCUAAAAUUCACACGGGAGGAGGCGGUCGGCACGUAACAGACAACUAGAGAAUGACGCGAGUUGAGAUGGCGUUUUUGACAGCUCCCUUCCAGAGGAAACUGUAUUGUUCAGCGUUGGAGGGCCUGGGUUCCCUCCAGCAGUCCCCACCCUUCCAUGAAGGCCAAGGCCGUGGAGCACCUGAGAGAGCGGCUGACCUCCCGGGACCCCCACUGUGCGGCAGCUUCAGAGGUGAGGAAGUUACUAAGAAGACUUUUUGACAUGUACAAGUUUGGAUCUAAGGAAUAAAGUGAAGGAAGAAGACCUCCUUGAGAAGAAAAUGGAACAUGGCCCUAACAGUGGGCAGCGUGAAACUGAGGAACACAGCAGGAAGCUGAUUUAGGCAAACUCAGCAGGAACUGGCCAGAGGCUGGUAGGAGGAUUAUUAUGGGCAGGCUGGCUUUCCUCAACUCUUAAUAACACCACCACUCCACACAGAAAAGAACUUCUCUUAUGACUGCCCUCUUUUCCUCAUAAAUCCCUCAAUGAGUUUUCUGAGAAUAGGCCCAAUGGGCUGGCUGUUCUGGAAGGACU